rnacentral:rRNA from 1 species
UACGGAGGGAGCUAGCGUUGUUCGGAUAUACUGGGCGUAAAGCGCGCGCAGGCGGCCUCGCGCGCCCGACGUGAAAGCCCCCGGCUUAACCGGGGAGGGUCGUUGGGGACGGCGGGGCUUGAGGGCGGGAGAGGUCGGUGGAAUUCCCGGUGUAGUGGUGAAAUGCGUAGAGAUCGGGAAGAACAUCAGUGGCGAAGGCGGUCUGCUGGGCCGUUGCUGACGCUGAGGCGCGACAGCGUGGGGAGCAAACAGG